rnacentral:siRNA from 1 species
UAGCCUCUUUAGGAUCUGUAAUAA